CUCCCGUUAAGGCAAACCUGUUGAAAGACAGGGACGCAAAGCCACGACCAAGGGCGGAGUCACCACG
rnacentral:ncRNA from 1 species